AGUUUGAUUCUAGCUCAGAUUGAACGCUGGCGGAUUGCUUUACACAUGCAAGUCGAACGGCAGCACGGACUUCGGUCUGGUGGCGAGUGGCGAACGGGUGAGUAAUGUAUCGGAACGUGCUAGUAAUGCGGGGAUAACUACGCGGCGUAGCUAAUACCGCAUGCGCCUUGAGGAAAGCGGGGACCUUCGGGCCUCGCACUAUUAGAGCGGCCGAUUUCGGAUUAGCUAGUUGGUGGGGUAACGACCACCAAAGGCGACGAUCCGUAGCUGGUUUUGAGAGGACGACCAGCCACACUGGGACUGAGACCUGGCAGACUCCUACGGGAGGCAGCAGUGGGGAAUUUUGGACAAUGGGGAAACCCUGGUCAGCCGUCGCAUUGUUGCGAUGAAGGCCUUCGGGUUGUAAAGCACUUUUAAGCAGGAAAGAAACGGCACAGGAUGACCACCCGUACAACUGACGACCUGCCAGAAUGGCACCAUUAACUACGUACCAGCAGCCGCGGUAAUACGUAGGGUGCAAGCGUUAAUCGGAAUUACUGGGCUAAGCGUGCCGAGCGGUUCGGAAAGAAAGAUGUGAAAUCCCAGAGCUUAGCACUUUGGAACUGCAUUUUUAACUACCGAGCUAGAGUGUGUCGGGAGGUGGAAUUCCGCGUGUAGCAGUGAAAUGCGUAGAUAUGCGGAGGAACACCGAUGGCAGAAAACAGCCUGGGAUAACACUGACAUCAUGCUGCGAAAGCGUCGAACCAAGCAGUUGAAUACCUGGUCCGCCCUAAACGAUGUCAGCUGGCUGUUGGGGCCUUCGGGCCUUGGUAGCGCAGCUAACGCGUGAAGUUGACCGCCGCGCCUGGAAAUGCAGUCCGCCAAAAUUCAAACUUCAAAGAAAUUGACGGGGACCCGCACAAGCGGUGGAUGAUGUGGAUUAAUUCGAUGCAACGCGAAAAACCUUACCUACCCUUGACAUGUCUGGAAUCCCGAAGAGAUUUGGGAGUGCUCGCAAGAGAACCGGAACACAGGUGCUGCAUGGCUGUCGUCAGCUCGUGUCGUGAGAUGUUGGGUUAAGUCCCGCAACGAGCGCAACCCUUGUCAUUAGUUGCUACGAAAAGGGCACUCUAAUGAGACUGCCGGUGACAAACCGGAGGAAGGUGGGGAUGACGUCAAGUCCUCAUGGCCCAUAUGGGUAGGAGACUACACGUCAUACAAUGGUCGGGACAGAGGGUCGCCAACCCGCGAGGAGCCAAUCCCAGAAACCCGAUCGUGGUCCGGAUCGCAGUCUGCAACUCGACUGCGUGAAGUCGGAAUCGCUGGCCAAUCGCGGAUCAGCAUGUCGCGGUGAAUACGUUCCCGGGUCUUGUACACACCGCCCGUCACACCAUGGGAGUGGGUUUUACCAAGAAGUAGUUAGCUAACCGUAAGGAGGGCGAUUACCGCGGUAGGAUUCAUGACUGGGGUGAAGUCGUAACAAGUGC
rnacentral:rRNA from 1 species